AGAAGGUCUGUGCACCAGAGAAGCUUCUUAGUCUUUAUUCUGCUGCAGUGGAACAACUUUGUUCCUCUGCUGUCUGACUCUACCUGAAAACAUGUUACUUUACUUCUUGCUGCUUUUCUCUCUCUGCAUAGCCAUGGGCUCCAUGAACACCAUCACACAGGAACAGAGGGAACAAGCUGUUUCAGAGGGAAGAAGCACCAGUUUGAGCUGUGAAUAUACUGGUUCUAUCUACAAUAUCCAGUGGUACCGACAGCAGCAGGGAUCCAGACCAGAGUUCCUGCUCUACAUCACAGAGGCUGGAGAGAUUCAUCCAGUUAGGUCUGAUUUCUCUGCUAAAAUCAACAAAAUGACGAAACAAGUGGACCUGCUGAUCUCCUCUGCUGCAGUGACAGACUCUGCUGUGUACUACUGUGCUGUGAGGCCCACAGUGACAGGAAACACCAGAACUCUGUACAAGAACCUGCAAUACUCCACAACAUCCACUAGAGGGCCUCACACACUGUUCCUCCUCUAUGGUUUGUUAGGAUUCAGUCUGAUUGUUUGUGCAGCUGAGAAUAAAGCAGACAUCAGAGUGUUUGCUGCAUCAUUGAACUCUUUAUGAUGAGAAGGUUUGGAUCAUAAAGGAGGGAUGAUGGAGGCUCCAGGAUGGAAGUGCAGCCUCUGCAGGACAUCAGCACCAUGGACAGAGUUCUGUUCCACCAUCUAGAUGUGUUUCAGUCCAGUUCUGUCCUGCUGUCAGACCACUGAUCUUCUA